CCUGGUGGCUAAGAUGGUAAAGAAUCUGCCUGCAAUGCAGGAGACCCAGGUUCGAUCCCUGGGUUAGGA
rnacentral:tRNA from 1 species